GAUGAACGCUGGCGGCGUGCCUAAUACAUGCAAGUCGAGCGAACGGACGAGAAGCUUGCUUUUCUGAUGUUAGCGGCGGACGGGUGAGUAACACGUGGAUAACCUACCUAUAAGACUGGGAUAACUUCGGGAAACCGGAGCUAAUACCGGAUAAUAUUUUGAACCGCAUGGUUCAAAAGUGAAAGACGGUCUUGCUGUCACUUAUAGAUGGAUCCGCGCUGCAUUAGCUAGUUGGUAAGGUAACGGCUUACCAAGGCAACGAUGCAUAGCCGACCUGAGAGGGUGAUCGGCCACACUGGAACUGAGACACGGUCCAGACUCCUACGGGAGGCAGCAGUAGGGAAUCUUCCGCAAUGGGCGAAAGCCUGACGGAGCAACGCCGCGUGAGUGAUGAAGGUCUUCGGAUCGUAAAACUCUGUUAUUAGGGAAGAACAUAUGUGUAAGUAACUGUGCACAUCUUGACGGUACCUAAUCAGAAAGCCACGUCUAACUACGUG
rnacentral:rRNA from 1 species